rnacentral:tRNA from 1 species
GGCGACGUGGCCAAGAGGUAAGGCAAAGGACUGCAAAUCCUUUAUCCCCAGUUCAAAUCUGGGUGUCGCUU